GAGCUGAACAGUUUGAUGAGCA
rnacentral:siRNA from 1 species